GGCAUUCCUGAAGGAUGUGCUAUUGAUCAUUCGCAAAUCAGUUCACCGAGAGUGCAAGAUUUCUCAAGAGGGAUUAAUUUUGAGAAACAUUCCCUUGACAGCGACAUAAUAAUUACUCCUUCUUCAAGAUUGUCA